rnacentral:misc_RNA from 1 species
GAUGAAGAACGCAGCGAAAUGCGAUACGUAAUGUGAAUUGCAGAAUUCAGUGAAUCAUCGAGUCUUUGAACGCACAUUGCGCCCCCUGGUAUUCCGGGGGGCAUGCCUGUCCGAGCGUCAUUGCUGCCCUCAAGCACGGCUUGUGUGUUGGGCCCCCGCCCCCCGGUUCCCGGGGGGCGGGCCCGAAAGGCAGCGGCGGCACCGCGUCCGGUCCUCGAGCGUAUGGGGCUUCGUCACCCGCUCUGUAGGCCCGGCCGGCGCUUGCCGAUCAACCAAAACUUUUUUCCAGGUUGACCUCGGAUCAGGUAGGGAUACCCGCUGAACUUAAGCAUAUCAAUAAGCGGAGGA